rnacentral:rRNA from 1 species
GACGAACGCUGGCGGCGUGCUUAACACAUGCAAGUCGAACGAGAGGACAAGAGAAGCUUGCUUCUUUUGGAAUCGAGUGGCAAACGGGUGAGUAACACGUAAACAACCUGCCUUCAGGAUGGGGACAACAGACGGAAACGACUGCUAAUACCGAAUACGCUUGGGAGACCGCAUGAUCUUCCAAGGAAAGGGUGGCCUCUACUUGUAAGCUAUCGCCUGAAGAGGGGUUUGCGUCUGAUUAGGCAGUUGGUGAGGUAACGGCCCACCAAACCUACGAUCAGUAGCCGGUCUGAGAGGAUGAACGGCCACACUGGAACUGAGACACGGUCCAGACUCCUACGGAGGCAGCAGUGGGGAAUCUUCCGCAAUGGGCGAAAGCCUGACCGGAGCAACGCCGCGUGAGUGAUGACGGCCUCGGUUGU